rnacentral:rRNA from 1 species
ACCACGCGGCUUCGGCUGCUUCUUGUUGACUCAGAAUAACUAAGCUGACCGCAUGGCCUUGUGCCGGCGGCGUGUCUUUCAAGCGUCCACUUUAUCAACUUGACGGGAGCAUAAUCGACUCCCGUGGUGGUGACGGAUAACGGAGGAUCAGGGUUCGACUCCGGAGAAGGGGCCUGAGAAAUGGCCACUACGUCUAAGGAUGGCAGCAGGCGCGCAAAUUACCCACUCUCGGCUCGAGGAGGUAGUGACGAGAAAUAACGAGAUCGUUCUCUUUGAGGCCGGUCAUCGGAAUGGGUACAAUUUAAACCCUUUAACGAGUAUCAAGCAGAGGGCAAGUCUGGUGCCAGCAGCCGCGGUAAUUCCAGCUCUGCUAAUACAUAGAAUUAUUGCUGCGGUUAAAAAGCUCGUAGUUGGAUUCGUAUCGGUACCCUGGAACCCUCUGGGUGUUUCUGGGUGUUAUCGAUUUAUCGUAAUGUUCGGUUUUGAGUCCUUAACAGGAUUCUUAACAGGCAUUGCAAGUUUACUUUGAACAAAUCAGAGUGCUUCAAACAGGCGUUUUCGCUUGAAUGAUCGUGCAUGGAAUAAUAGAAAACGAUUUCGGUUCAGUUUUAUUGGUUUUACGGACUGAGAUAAUGGUUAACAGAGACAAACGGGGGCAUUUGUAUGGCCCCGUGAGAGGUGAAAUUCUUGGACCGUGGCCAGACAAACUACAGCGAAAGCAUUUGCCAAGAAUGUCUUCAUUAAUCAAGAACGAAAGUCAGAGGUUCGAAGGCGAUCAGAUACCGCCCUAGUUCUGACCGUAAACGAUGCCAACUAGCGAUCCGCCGAUGGAAAUUAUAUUGCCUUGGUGGGGAGCUAUCAGCUCGCGUUGAUUACGUCCCUGCCCUUUGUACACACCGCCCGUCGCUGCCCGGGACUGAGCCAUUUCGAGAAAUUUGGGGACCGUUGAUUUAAUUUUUCUAAAUUACUUUGAUGGAAACCAAUUUAAUCGCAGUGGCUUGAACCGGGCAAAAGUCGUAACAAGGUAGCUGUAGGUGAACCUGCUGCUGGAUCAUUA